GACAGAGGGCUCAAACGUUGUUCGGAAUUACUGGGCAUAAAGCGCACGUAGGCGGCUCAUUAAGUCGGUUGUGAAAUCCCUCGGCUCAACCGAGGAACUGCAUCCGAUACUGGUGGGCUCGAGGACGGGAGGGGUAAGUGGAACUCCAGGUGGAACGGUGAAAUGUGUAGAUAUCUGGAGGAACACCGGUGGCGAAAGCGGCUUACUGGCCCGUAUCUGACGCUGAUGUGCGAAAGCUAGGGGAGCAAACGGG
rnacentral:rRNA from 1 species